GCUGUGAGGCCGACAGGCCGAGCAGAGACGAAAGUCGGUCAUAGUGAUCCGGUGGUCCCGCGUGGAAGGGCCAUCGCUCAACGGAUAAAAGGUACUCCGGGGAUAACAGGCUGAUACCGCCCAAGAGUUCACAUCGACGGCGGUGUUUGGCACCUCGAUGUCGGCUCAUCGCAUCCUGGGGCUGAAGGCGGUCCCAAGGGUUAGGCUGUUCGCCUAUUAAAGCGGUACGCGAGCUGGGUUCAGACCGGCGUGAGCCAGGUCGGUCCCUAUCUGCUGUGGGCGUUGCAAACUUGAGAGGAGUCAACUUUAGUACGAGAGGAUUAGGUUGGACUGACCCCUGGUGAUCCUGUUGGGCUGCUAAGCCCAUCGCAGGGUAGCUACGUCGGGCAGGGAUAACAGCUGAAAGCAUCUAAGCAGGAAGCCCCCCUCAAGAUCAGGUUUGCUUGUCUUGUACGUGAGACCCCUGGGAGACUACCAGGUUGAUAGGCCGCAGGUGUAAGGGUUGAGAAGCCCUCAGCUGAGCGGUACUAACGGUCGAAGGUU
rnacentral:rRNA from 1 species